rnacentral:rRNA from 1 species
GAUGAACGCUGGCGGCGUGCCUAACACAUGCAAGUCGAGCGCGAUUAAGUGGAGUGAGAACUUCGGUUCAAGUGAAGCUUAUGAAAGCGGCGGACGGGUGAGUAACGCGUGGGGUAACCUGCCCCAUACAAAGGGAUAGCCACUGGAAACGGUGAUUAAUACCUUAUAAGUCGGGUAGUCUCGCAUGAGACAGCCGACAAAGAUUUAUCGGUAUGGGAUGGACCCGCGUCUGAUUAGCUAGUUGGUGAGGUAACGGCUCACCAAGGCGACGAUCAGUAGCCGACCUGAGAGGGUGAUCGGCCACACUGGAACUGAGACACGGUCCAGACUCCUACGGGAGGCAGCAGUGGGGAAUAUUGCACAAUGGGCGCAAGCCUGAUGCAGCAACGCCGUCGUGAGUGAU